rnacentral:rRNA from 1 species
AUUGAACGCUGGCGGCAGGCUUAACACAUGCAAGUCGAGCGGGGUGAUGGUGCUUGCACUAUCACUUAGCGGCGGACGGGUGAGUAAUGCUUAGGAAUCUGCCUAUUAGUGGGGGACAACAUCUCGAAAGGGAUACUAAUACCGCAUACGUCCUACGGGAGAAAGCAGGGGAUCACUUGUGACCUUGCGCUAAUAGAUGAGCCUAAGUCGGAUUAGCUAGUUGGUGGGGUAAAGGCCUACCAAGGCGACGAUCUGUAGCGGGUCUGAGAGGUUGAUCCGGCAAACUGGGACUGAGACACGGCCCAGCCUCCUACGGGAGGCAGCAGUGGGGAAUAUUGGACAAUGGGGGGAACCCUGAGCCAGCCAUGCCGCGUGUGUGAAGAAGGCCUUAUGGUUGUAAAGCACUUUAAGCGAGGAGGAGGCUCUUUUGGUUAAUACCCAAGAUGAGUGGACGUUACUCGCAGAAUAAGCACCGGCUAACUCUGUGCCAGCCGCCGCAGUAA